rnacentral:rRNA from 1 species
ACGGCUCAGUAACGCGUAGUCAAUCUACCCUAUGGACGGGAAUAACCUCGGGAAACUGAGAAUAAUGCCCGAUAGAACAUUAUGCCUGGAAUGGUUUAUGUUUCAAAUGAUUUAUCGCCAUAGGAUGGGACUGCGGCCUAUCAGUUUGUUGGUGAGGUAAUGGCCCACCAAGACUAUUACAGGUACGGGCUCUGAGAGGAGUAGCCCGGAGAUGGGUACUGAGGCACGGACCCAGGCCCUAUGGGGCGCAGCAGGCGAGAAAACUUUGCAAUGUGCGAAA